rnacentral:rRNA from 1 species
GACGAACGCUGGCGGCGUGCCUCAAACAUGCAAGUCGAGCGAGGUGAGACCGAACCGCAAGGUGAGGUUGAACCUAGCGGCGAACGGGUGAGUAACACGUGGGUAACCUGCCUGGAAGAUUGGGAUAACGGCUCGAAAGAGUCGCUAAUACCGGAUAAUGUCCUGGUGCUGCAUGGCACCGGGAAGAAAGGGGAAACCCGCUUUCAGAUGGGCCCGCGCCCCAUCAGCUAGUUGGUAAGGUAACGGCUUACCAAGGCGACGACGGGUAGCCGGUCUGAGAGGACGAUCGGCCACACUGGGACUGAGAUACGGCCCAGACUCCUACGGGAGGCAGCAGUUGGGAAUCUUAGGCAAUGGGCGAAAGCCUGACCUAGCGACGCCGCGUGAGGGAAGAAGGCCUUCGGGUCGUAAACCUCUGUCAUGGGGACGAAGAAAGUAGACGGUACCCACGGAGGAAGCCCUGCUAACUACGUG